UCCUGUUCGGGCCCCCGGUGGGACCCACAUUCAAGGAAAUUACCAAAAUAUCAUUCUAAGGAAAAUUACUGAAAAUACCCUCAAACACAAACCCCUUGAUGGGCUCAGACCAGAAUUUCGGGGCCCAUAUCUCAGCCUCCUGCAGGCCCAAGAUUUCAUACUCAUACACUUGCCUAUAUUUACUAAUAAUGCCAUCCUGCAUUACUAUAAAUAUGUCUCACCUAAUCAUUACUGAGGUAUGCAAUUAUUCCCAAACUCACUCUCUGAAUACUUUCUCUCUCUAACAAGGACUGACUUGAGCGUCGGAGAGGGUUUUCUCGGGAACCCCCCCGAGCCAGUUUACGUUUGCUCCCUUUUGUAGGAAAACGACAGCCGACUGGAGGAAAAUAACAGUCAGGUUGACGAGGCUUCCCCUAUUUUCACACUUAGCAAUUUCUUCGCAGAAACAGUUGGCUUUGUUUAUUUCCUUGUUCAAAUUUUCACCAUUAAUGGCCAUCUAUUUUCUCUCUCCUUCGCUUUGACCACCACGGCACCAUCCCUUGACCGCCGCCGCUGCCACCACCAUCUUCCGGCAACUCCUCCCUUCGCUGCCCGGAACCCAGACCCGGCGUCACUGCCCGUCGCCGGCGUCCACCGCAACCCUGCUGCACCGUGCUUGCUCAGUUACUCCCCCUGUUCUUUGUUGUUGUUGCUUCGUUAUUUCCUUGCUACUGCUUAUGUUUCUCUUUUUUCCAAAGCCCAAAAAGUUUAAAGGGGAUUGUUAUUUAGUGGGCUAUGAUUGGGUAAUUAAGGAGCAAUUAUUAUGGGUUUUGGUGAGUGGGCCGCAUGCUUCAAGGAAAAAGGAUGCAUGGUUUUGAAAUUUUCCAGUUGUUGGAGUUCAACUACGAUGACUCAGGAUUAUGGGUUUGAAGGCAAGAAUUCGACAUUAAGUUAAGCAUUCGGAUUUUUACGGUCGAGGUUCGAUUAAGGAGCUCACGUUGCUCAAGAUGAGAGUUAUUACUGGAGUUGGUAUUUUAUUACGGAGAUACGAUAUCGAGCUGAGAGAUUAGUUAUUAUGGAAAUUCGGUUAUUGAGAUUAUUAUGAGAAUAUUGAAUUAUAUUUAUUUUUGGGAUUAUUGUAUAAUUUAAGGCAUGUUAUUAGAGGAUUAUUUUAUUUGUGGGCCCAUACCCACAGGUCCCAGGAUUAAUUAAGCCUAAUUCCGCUGCCAAUGAUUAGUAAAGUACGGUUUAUUACCGAUAAUUAAGGUAUCGAAAA